AUGUCACUGGGCAUUAUUUACACAGACUUGCGGGAGGUGUGUGAUUAAGUUCUUGUGAAGAGACCGGGGGGGUGAAAUUGGGGCUCAGGCAACUGAAGGCAGAUUGCUAACCUGGUUAGCGACUAGGAUGAGGGUGUCGUUGCCUAGACUAACACUGAUUGCCCAGUUACUCAGAAGGGAGUUAAGAGACAACCACAUUGUCCAGAGUCUGGAAUCACAUGUAGGCCCAGACCAGGAUUUGAACCUGACUCCUCGGAAAGUUAGCCGGGUCUUCGGAUUAACGGAAAACACCACUGGGUCGCCUGCUUCCCAAUUAUACAGAGAUUGACGGGCAAGAGGAGAUUCCGAAAUGUCAUCAGGGAACUGGAACACAAGCAGCAAUUACUUGGACAAAGGCUUCUCUCUCUCUCUCGCUCUCUCUCUCUCUGGAACGCUACAAAGCAACACUGUUCCUGUGACUGUACCCGGGACUCCGCUAUCUCCGGGAAUCUCCUUCUCUCCUUCAUCGAGAAUCCAUCCACACAGUUGCGCUGGCUUUGACCAAAUCACCAUCACCCAGACUACCUCACGGCUUCUCCUGGUCUCAGCAACACCCCAACCUUAAACCUUCUCAAGUCCCCUCGUGACCUAUGACCUUCCAAAGUCUCCACCUACCUCAAAUGCCAGCUCCCAUGACGCCCUGACCAGCAUCUUAAAUGCCUCCACCCGCCCCCACCCCCCCACGACCUACACCAUAAACCGGAUCAAUCGGAAAUUGACCCCAUUGCUGGGAUCUUACCGUGCGCAAUCAGGCAAACGCGUCCGUGGGCAAAAUGUCGAGCGUUGACAUAGCGCCUUUCAGGGCCUUGGGACCGCCCAAAAGCCUUUUCCAGGCAGUGACACACACAGGCACACUGCAGGAAAUUAGGCAGCCAAAUCAAUGCACAGCAAGAUCCCACAAACAGAAACGUGAGUAUCUGCAGAUAAUCUAUUCAUCUUUGAAAAGAAAAGUGUGGACUGGG